rnacentral:rRNA from 1 species
GUGCGAAAGCGUGGGAGCAAACAGGAUUAGAUACCCUGGUAGUCACGCUGUAAACGAUGUCGAUUUGGAGGUUGUGCCCUUGAGGCGUGGCUUCCGGAGCUAACGCGUUAAAUCGACCGCCUGGGGAGUACGGCCGCAAGGUUAAAACUCAAAUGAAUUGACGGGGGCCCGCACAAGCGGUGGAGCAUGUGGUUUAAUUCGAUGCAACGCGAAGAACCUUACCUACUCUUGACAUCCAGAGAACUUAGCAGAGAUGCUUUGGUGCCUUCGGGAACUCUGAGACAGGUGCUGCAUGGCUGUCGUCAGCUCGUGUUGUGAAAUGUUGGGUUAAGUCCCGCAACGAGCGCAACCCUUAUCCUUUGUUGCCAGCGGUUCGGCCGGGAACUCAAAGGAGACUGCCAGUGAUAAACUGGAGGAAGGUGGGGAUGACGUCAAGUCAUCAUGGCCCUUACGAGUAGGGCUACACACGUGCUACAAUGGCGUAUACAAAGAGAAGCGACCUCGCGAGAGCAAGCGGACCUCAUAAAGUACGUCGUAGUCCGGAUUGGAGUCUGCAACUCGACUCCAUGAAGUCGGAAUCGCUAGUAAUCGUAGAUCAGAAUGCUACGGUGAAUACGUUCCCGGGCCUUGUACACACCGCCCGUCACACCAUGGGAGUGGGUUGCAAAAGAAGUAGGUAGCUUAACCUUCGGGAGGGCGCUUACCACUUUGUGAUUCAUGACUGGGGUGAAGUCGUAACAAGGUAACCA